UGGGGAAUAUUGCACAAUGGGGGAAACCCUGAUGCAGCGACGCCGCGUGAAGGAUGAAGUAUUUCGGUAUGUAAACUUCUAUCAGCAGGGAAGAAAAUGACGGUACCUGACUAAGAAGCCCCGGCUAACUACGUGCCAGCAGCCGCGGUAAUACGUAGGGGGCAAGCGUUAUCCGGAUUUACUGGGUGUAAAGGGAGCGUAGACGGCAUGGCAAGUCUGAUGUGAAAACCCGGGGCUCAACCGCGGGACUGCAUUGGAAACUGUCGGGCUAGAGUGUCGGAGAGGCAAGUGGAAUUCCUAGUG
rnacentral:rRNA from 1 species